rnacentral:misc_RNA from 1 species
GAUGAAGAACGUAGCGAAAUGCGAUACGUAAUGUGAAUUGCAGAAUUCAGUGAAUCAUCGAGGCUUUGAACGCACAUUGCGCCCCCUGGUAUUCCGGGGGGCAUGCCUGUCCGAGCGUCAUUGCUGCCCUCAAGCACGGCUUGUGUGUUGGGCCUCCGUCCUCCUCCCGGGGGACGGGCCCGAAAGGCAGCGGCGGCACCGCGUCCGGUCCUCGAGCGUAUGGGGCUUCGUCACCCGCUCUUGUAGGCCCGGCCGGCGCUUGCCGACACAUCAAUCUUUUUUCCAGGUUGACCUCGGAUCAGGUAGGGAUACCCGCUGAACUUAAGCAUAUCAAUAAGCGGAGGA